rnacentral:rRNA from 1 species
GACGAACGCUGGCGGCGUGCUUAACACAUGCAAGUCGAACGGAAAGGCCCUGCUUUUGUGGGGUGCUCGAGUGGCGAACGGGUGAGUAACACGUGAGUAACCUGCCCUUGACUUUGGGAUAACUUCAGGAAACUGGGGCUGAUACCGGAUUGGAGCUCCUGCUGCAUGGUGGGGGUUGGAAAGUUUCGGCGGUUGGGGAUGGACUCGCGGCUUAUCAGCUUGUUGGUGGGGUAGUGGCUUACCAAGGCUUUGACGGGUAGCCGGCCUGAGAGGGUGACCGGCCACAUUGGGACUGAGAUACGGCCCAGACUCCUACGGGAGGCAGCAGUGGGGAAUAUUGCACAAUGGGCGGAAGCCUGAUGCAGCAACGCCGCGUGCGGGAUGACGGCCUUCGGGUUGUAAACCGCUUUCGCCUGUGACGAAGCGUGAGUGACGGUAAUGGGUAAAGAAGCACCGGCUAACUACGUG